UACACUCCUACGGGAGGCAGCAGUGGGGAAUAUUGCACAAUGGGCGCAAGCCUGAUGCAGCCAUGCCGCGUGUAUGAAGAAGGCCUUCGGGUUGUAAAGUACUUUCAGCGGGGAGGAAGGCAAUACGGUUAAUAACCGUGUUGAUUGACGUUACCCGCAGAAGAAGCACCGGCUAACUCCGUGCCAGCAGCCGCGGUAAUACGGAGGGUGCAAGCGUUAAUCGGAAUUACUGGGCGUAAAGCGCACGCAGGCGGUCUGUCAAGUCGGAUGUGAAAUCCCCGGGCUCAACCUGGGAACUGCAUUCGAAACUGGCAGGCUUGAGUCUUGUAGAGGGGGGUAGAAUUCCAGGUGUAGCGGUGAAAUGCGUAGAGAUCUGGAGGAAUACCGGUGGCGAAGGCGGCCCCCUGGACAAAGACUGACGCUCAGGUGCGAAAGCGUGGGGAGCAAACAGGAUUAGAAACCCGUGUAGUCCCAUGAU
rnacentral:rRNA from 1 species